UACGAAGGGGGCUAGCGUUGCUCGGAAUUACUGGGCGUAAAGCGCACGUAGGCGGCUUUCUAAGUCGGGGGUGAAAUCCUGGAGCUCAACUCCAGAACUGCCUUCGAUACUGGAAAGCUCGAGUCCGGGAGAGGUGAGUGGAACUGCGAGUGUAGAGGUGAAAUUCGUAGAUAUUCGCAAGAACACCAGUGGCGAAGGCGGCUUACUGGUCCGGUUCUGACGCUGAGGAGCGAAAGCGUGGGGAGCAAACAGG
rnacentral:rRNA from 1 species